UACAGAGGGGGCAAGCGUUGUCCGGAAUCAUUGGGCGUAAAGCGCGUGUAGGCGGCCCGAUAAGUCCGCUGUGAAAGUCGGGGGCUCAACCCUCGAAAGCCGGUGGAUACUGUCGGGCUAGAGUACGGAAGAGGCGAGUGGAAUUCCCGGUGUAGCGGUGAAAUGCGCAGAUAUCGGGAGGAACACCAAUGGCGAAGGCAGCUCGCUGGGACGGUACUGACGCUGAGACGCGAAAGCGUGGGGAGCAAACAGGG
rnacentral:rRNA from 1 species